rnacentral:rRNA from 1 species
UACGUAGGGACCGAGCGUUGUCCGGAAUCAUUGGGCGUAAAGAGCGUGUAGGCGGCCUGAAAGGUCAGCUGUGAAAACUCGAGGCUCAACCUCGAGACGUCGGUUGAAACCAUCUGGCUAGAGUCCGGAAGAGGAGUGUGGAAUUCCCGGUGUAGCGGUGAAAUGCGCAGAUAUCGGGAAGAACACCCGUGGCGAAGGCGGCACUCUGGCCUUACCUGACGCUGAGGAGCGAAAGCGUGGGGAGCGAACAGG